UGUACUUUAGCGGUUGUACUUUAGGUGUUGUACUUUAGGUGCUGUGUACUUUAAGUGUUGUGUACUUUAGGUGUUGUGUACUUUAGGUGCUGUGUACUUUAGGUGCUGUGUACUUUAGGUGUUGUGUACUUUAGGUGCUGUGUACUUUAGGUGCUGUGUACUUUAGGUGCUGUGUACUUUAGGUGUUGUGUACUUUAGGUGCUGUGUACUUUAGGUGUUGUGUACUUCAGGUGUUGUACUUUAGGUGCUGUGUACUUUAGGUGUUGUGUACUUUAGGUGCUGUGUGCUUUAGGUGUUGUGUACUUUAGGUGUUGUGUACUUUAGGUGCUGUGUACUUUAGGUGCUGUGUACUUUAGGUGCUGUGUACUUUAGGUGUUGCACUUUAGGUGUUGUACUUUAGGUGCUGUGUACUUUAGGUGUUGUUCUUUAGGUGUUGUACUUUAGGUGCUGUGUACUUUAGGUGCUGUGUACUUUAGGUGCUGUGUACUUUAGGUGCUGUGUACUUUAGGUGUUGUGUACUUUAGGUGCUGUGUACUUUAGGUGCUGUGUACUUUAGGUGUUGUACUUUAGGUGCUGUGUACUUUAGGUGCUGUGUACUUUAGGUGUUGUGUACUUUAGGUGCUGUGUACUUUAGGUGUUGUACUUUAGGUGUUGUGUACUUUAGGUGCUGUUUACUUUAGGUGUUGUACUUUAGGUGCUGUGUACUUUAGGUGUUGUGUACUUUAGGUGCUGUGUACUUUAGGUGCUGUGUACUUUAGGUGUUGUGUACUUUAGGUGCUGUGUACUUUAGGUGCUGUGUACUUUAGGUGCUGUGUACUUUAGGUGCUGUGUACUUUAGGUGUUGUGUACUUUAGGUGUUGUACUUUAGGUGUUGUGUACUUUAGGUGCUGUGUACUUUAGGUGCUGUGUACUUUAGGUGCUGUGUACUUUAGGUGUUGUGUACUUUAGGUGCUGUGUACUUUAGGUGUUGUGUACUUCAGGUGUUGUACUUUAGGUGCUGUGUACUUUAGGUGUUGUGUACUUUAGGUGCUGUGUGCUUUAGGUGUUGUGUACUUUAGGUGUUGUGUACUUUAGGUGCUGUGUACUUUAGGUGCUGUGUACUUUAGGUGCUGUGUACUUUAGGUGCUGUGUACUUUAGGUGUUGCACUUUAGGUGUUGUACUUUAGGUGCUGUGUACUUUAGGUGUUGUUCUUUAGGUGUUGUACUUUAGGUGCUGUGUACUUUAGGUGCUGUGUACUUUAGGUGCUGUGUACUUUAGGUGUUGUGUACUUUAGGUGCUGUGUACUUUAGGUGUUGUACUGUAGGUGUUGUACUGUCGGUGCUGUGUACUUUAGGUGUUGUGUACUUUAGGUGCUGUGUACUUUAGGUGCUGUGUACUUUAGGUGUUGUGUACUUUAGGUGUUGUGUACUUUAAGUGUUGUGUACUUUAGGUGCUGUGUACUUUAGGUGUUGUACUUUAGGUGCUGUGUACUUUAGGUGCUGUGUACUUUAGGUGCUGUGUACUUUAGGUGUUGUGUACUUUAGGUGUUGUGUACUUUAGGUGUUGUGUACUUUAAGUGUUGUGUACUUUAGGUGCUGUGUACUUUAGGUGUUGUGUACUUUAGGUGCUGUGUACUUUAGGUGCUGUGUACUUUAGGUGUUGUGUACUUUAGGUGCUGUGAACUUUAGGUGUUGUGUACUUUAGGUGCUGUGUACUUUAGGUGCUGUGUACUUUAGGUGUUGACUUUAGGUGUUGUACUUUAGGUGCUGUGUACUUUAGGUGUUGACUUUAGGUGUUGUACUUUAGGUGCUGUGUACUUUAGGUGUUGACUUUAGGUGUUGUACUUAAGGUGUUGUGUACUUUAGGUGUUGUGUACUUCAGGUGCUGUGUAUUUAGGUGCUGUGUACUUUAGGUGUUGUGUACUUUAGGUGUUGUGUACUUCAGGUGCUGUGUAUUUAGGUGCUGUGUACUUUAGGUGUUGUGUAUUUAGGUGCUGUGUACUAUAGCUACCUGUACA